GCUGUUAGUCUAUCAGGCCGUUGGUCCAUCAGGCCAUUGGUCCAUCACUGUUCCAUCAGGCCGUUGGUCCAUCAGGCCCCUGAUCCAUCAGGCCGUUGGUCCAUCUGGCCCCUGGUCCAUCAGGCCGUUGGUCCAUCUGGCCCCUGGUCCAUCAGGCCUCUGUUCCAUCAGGCCAUUGGUCCAUCAGGCCUCUGGUCCAUCAGGCCAUGGCUUGCUGGACCUUGAGGAGCUCCAGAUCCCUGCUCGUGCCUGCUGCUGUCACUGGGUCCUUGUGGAAUAUCUCCCGCCUUCCUCCCGUGCCAGGGAGCCCAGGAUUCUCUCAGUGUCCCGAGCUUGGGAGGGAGUCUCCCUCUGAGCUCUGAGACAGUCACCCCUUUCCAUGGGGGAGACAAGUGUCUGGGGGCCUGUGAAGGCGGCCCCGAGGAAGCAGGGUCUGUGUGGCUCCUUUUCAGGGAUGCCUGCUCCGGGCUGCUGUUCGGUGUUGGGUUGGGCCCGUGGGCCGCCACAGUCAUCCCCCCCACUAUCCCUUCCCUUCCCCACCUGCAGCCUGCUGUGUGUGCCAAUGACUUUGGGGAUCCUCCGUGGCUCCAGCUGAGGGGAGCCGAGCUCAUUGAUCCUGAUGAAGGGGCUGAGGGCUGGGACCCUCCGUGCCAGCGAACUGCCCAUUCGACAAGGAGCCAAAGGGGCCUCUGCCAGCCCCUUCCCUGCUCCGGCUCUCAUCCCCAAGAACCUGCCGUGUCCUCCCGGUCUUGUCUCCUUCAGCCCAAACAUGGCCAGCUCCUUCUGUGUCUUCAUGCGCAAUGGGAGCCGGGCCCUGUCCGUCCUGGCUGCCUCCUCCCAGGGUUCUCCCCUCUGCAAGGGGACCUGUGAGAUGGUCUCCACUCCCUGGACAGGGGCAGCCUCCUCCCCUCCCUGUCCAAACUAAUCAGCUAUGGUGCCCAGGAGCCAUGGCGCCCCAGGGUGUGUUCCAUGCAAGGAAACUGAGGUCCACUCGAGGUCCUGCAGAGAUGGGCCAGCUGCUCAGCUUGACUUCCUGCAUUAAGCACAGUGCCUGGCAUACAGUUGGUGCUUAAUAAAUGCUUAGCCCACUUGGGCCACAGACCUUCAAUCUAGAGUGAAACGUUUCUCUCCCUCCUCUAGGGAAUUAGGGUAAGAGGUCAGGUUCUCCUCCCCUCUCCUUUCUCCCCCCUCUCCUCUCCUUUCUCCCCCAUCCCCUCUCCUUUCUCCCCCAUCCCCUCUCAUUUCUCCUCCCUCGCCUCUCUUCCUUCCCUCCCUCUCUCUGCCAGGUCUCAGGCUAACUUCAGCAAGUGGCCACAGUGGGGGUGGGGGAGGUCACAGCACAAGUCGGGAAGCUCGGGAGCAGCGGGGGCCUAGCCCUCGGCACCCUGGGGUGCUCUGGGACACCAAAGGCCCUGUGCUGGAGCAGCGAGGUAAGGGGCCGGACUUAGGCUGACUGUCCAUCAGGGUGUGGUCCCCUUCCCCUCAGGCACACGCCCUCAGCCGCCCUCCCUAAGCUUUGCAGCUAUGAUCUCAUUUGAUCCUCAGUGACCUUGGGAGGGAGGGGCUAUUAUGAUCCCCAUUUUACAGAUAAGGAAACUGAGGCGGGCAGUGAAGUGACCUAUCCGGGGUCACUCGGCCAGGAUGUCUGAGGCUGGAUUUGCUAGCUGGCAGGGGAGGAGCUGCGUGUGCUGGGGCCGGGGGAGGGACUGAGGGGUGGGGGAGGGGCCGAGGGGCCGAGGCUCCUCUGGGAGUUCCCUGGCCGGUUCCCAGGGACAUCCUUGGGACUGUGCACCCCGUGGGCCUCCAUUCUCCCUGGGGAAGCUGGGCUGGACCCCUUUCCCUUCUCCCCCCUCCUGCUUGGCGGUGAUGGGGCCUUCCCCACCCCCCCCUUUCCCUUGGUCUUCUCUGGCUCUGAGGAAGCCCCCGUUUCAUCACCCGGAGCAGAAGAGCGGGGAGGGGGGCCCGAGGGGGGAGCAAAGAGAGACCGGAGGCCGUUAUCCCGGGCUCCCUGCGGACAGCAGUGGGGAAAGCCGGCCAAAGGCAGGGCCCUGCGGGGAGGCCCCCGGCCCCUUGGUCUCCCAGAGCGCCCCAGAGGGUGGCGCGGCGCCCGCCAUCCCGGGAGGAAAGGAGAAAGGGCCGGGAGUGCGAGCGCCUUCCGGGGAGACUCCAGCCCUAGAACUCGGGAGAGCCGCUGGCAAGAGGAGGCGUCCCCGCAGGUGCGGCCGGAGGGAGCCGGAAUCCCGAGCCUCGGGCCCAGGGCAGGGGCUAUACCAGGAGGAACACCACCGGUCAGGAGGGCGGUGCCCUGGGGAAGCAGGGCCCAGAGCUAAGCCCUACAGAUGCCGAAUGUGAGAGCGGCUUCCGGAGCGGCUCCCACCUCCUGGAGCACGGGAGGAUUCACACCGGACCAAGCCCUGCACGGGCCGCGAGGCUCCGCCCCCAGCGCCACCCUCGCCGCGCCCCGGAGGCUCCGCCCCGACGGGGCCCCGCGCCCUCCGGCAGCGAGGGAGAGCCCAGCUCGGACCUCCGUGCGCACCGGAGGAGUCACGGCGGCGAGAGACAGAAGCAGCUUCUCGUGGAGCUCGGCCCCGGGCGGCCACGAGAGGACGCGCAGCGGGGACAGCCCCGACGGGGGCGGGGAGGGGCCCGAGGCGGGUGGUGAGGGCGAGGAGGCAUUCAAGGGAGCUUGAACCUGAGCCAGCAACUGAGGGUGCCCACGGGGAGAAGCCCUACGGCUGAGGGAGUGUGGGCGCGCCUUCACUUGUAGGAUGGCCCUCGUCACCCACUGGAGGACCCACAGCGAGGAGAAGCCCCUGCCGGAUCCUGGCUUAGUGUAGCAGUUUCAGGAUACUAAAGUCUUCAAAAAGAGUCAAGACCAGCAUGGGAACCCAAGAACGAGAAAAAUGAGGCUUUAGGGGAGCUCCCAAGGAAGGAAAAUCAGAUGGUCUGGAGCCGCCAAAGGAAGAGAAAGGGAUUAUUCUUAGAUGUCUAUCAUUAUAGUUCUACCAGCUUUCCUGAUUGCCAGUUAAAAUGAGCAGUCUGAUUUCACAAAAGCCUGGGAAGACUUACAUGACCUGAUGCUGAAUGAAGUGAGCGGAACCAAGAGAACAUUGUACACAGUAACAAUCUGAUCACUCAACUGUGCUGGACUUGGCUCUUUUCAACAGUUUGAUUCAAAGCAAUUUCAACAGACUUGGGAAAGUGCCACCUGCAUCUGGAGGGAGACUAUGGGGCCUGAACGUCCCCCAAAGCAGAGCAUUUUCACUUUUGUCUGCCUGUUUCCCCCCGUAUUUCCCCCCUUUUCAUCUGAUUUUUCUUGUGCAGUAUGACAAGUACGGAAAUGCUCACAAUUGCACGUGUCUAGCCUCUAUCUGCUUGAGAUCUUGGGGGGGUGGGGAGAAAAAUUUGGAACACAAGGUUUUGCGAAGGUAAGUUUUGAAAACUAUCUCUGCAUGGAUUUGGGAAAAUAAAACACUCUUUAAAAAAUGCUUUAGGCUCUGGCUGGAGACACCCUCAGGACAUGGACCAGUCCCACCCAUUGGGACCACCGAUAAGUCAGUAAUCCAGUCACUGGUCAACGAGUGGAGUUUGAGUCCAGGAAGGGCAGGCUCCGGAAGCCCCACCAAAAACAAGUCCCAGAGCACUGGGACUUCGCCCCUCUCAGAGACGCUCCGAGUGCUCCCCGAGGGCAGAGACUUUGGCCUUUUGGUCAGUGCAUCCCUUGUGUAUCAGACAGUGGCUAGCACCCUGUGGGUGCCUGAUAAAUGUCUGUGAUCAACCGCUUGGCUGAUUUCACCAGGGAAGGGAGCUGGUCCCAGAGAAGGGAAAGGUCUGCCAGAGCGCAGUCUGUAAGGUUCAGAACCAGAAUCCUCUUACAGGUCAUUUC
rnacentral:lncRNA from 1 species